UGUCACCAUUAUCAUCAGCUUCUCUUAGUGGAAAGGCGAGUCAGUGAUCCUUAAUUGCCUCACCGUUGGAGUCCUUCCGAAUCCAGGCAAAGCAGGUGAUGCUGUUUCGCUCUGAAGCAUUUCUAAUGCCUUCAAAACAGCAGCGUUCAUCAUUAAAACGUCGUCGUGUUCAGGCUGAUUAUGCUUAUUAAUGCGCUUGUUGAUGUUGAAGGGGAGGUGAAAAGCUGGGCUGUUACUGCAGCUGAACUCGUAAUACUCUUUUGAAAUCGAUUGAUGAAUAUUAUUAUUAUUAUGGCCCUGAAACAUCAGAUUUUGGAACGCGGCCUUUCCAGCAAUCUUACCACGUUUCAUUAAUAAGUUGAGAUCGAACAUUAGUUUCCUCUUUGAUGAUAAUCCUUUUCUCAACAUGAAAUAAGCCACACGAACUAUUUUCCAGAACUUUUUCCCUAUAACUGGCAAUAUUUUUUGAUCCAUUUUCACGUACGGAGAAUUUUUUUAUUUUUUUUGAACUGUGAGUUUUUGUUGGUUAACUUGAGAAGGAGAGACAAAUAUUGAUGAAAGCCAAGAGAGAGCUUUAAUUUAGAGGAGAGUUGUUUGUUAUUGUGGUUUAUGAGAAGCAUUGAGUGAGUGGUAUAUAUAGGGGGAUUUUCAUACAGAGGAAAAGGACGCAGUGAAGUAUUCUAUAUAUUUUUAAGUAGACACGUUUGGGCACGGAAUAGACCACGUAUAUUACUUGUUGAGAUUCAAUUAUACUAUUGCUUCAAUUAUUAGAGGAGGAAGUAGUCUUUAAAGUCACUGUCACCCAUGCUUUUCACGUGAAUUAAUUGCAAAUUUGAGGCCAAUAGCAAGUAACCUCUAUAUUAUUUUCUUAAUACCAAACACACUCUUUUAAGUCUUUAUGGUCUGCAAGGAAAAGGAGUAAAGGCAAAAAAGGGGGUGGUGGGGCCUGAAGGUACAGUUAUCCAAAUGUGACAUUCAAAUUAUUGAAGAAGGCGUUUGAAAUGUAACAAACAAUUUCUAAAAAUAACUGCAUAUUCAGUGUGAGUAGAGGAUAUAAUUAUGUGUCUUCAAAUCUAUUCUAUGGUACAACAAUAAUUGUUAAAGAAAGAUGAGGAUGAAUAUGCAAGACGUUACAUAUUAAAAGGUCUCUAGCUUUUAAAUUUUUUAACAGUUUGAAAACUCCUCGGUUCAUUUUUAUCUAUCAUUAGACUUUGAUCAAUAUUUUACGUUAUAUUUUUUUAUAAUAUUAAUAUAAGAAUGAAUAUCAUUUCUUGUAGUUUUCGAACAUUUAAAAUAUUGAAUGUAAUAUAAUUUAAUUUAGCUUCAAAAUUAAUCAUAUUAAUUCUUAUUAAGUGAAAUAUAACAAGUAAAAAUAGACGAAAAAAUAUCAUACAAAUGUACAUAAGAGAGAUGAAGCAAGUCCCACGUGUCUUCAUAUAAUAAUUCUAAUUACACCUCUAUUAUUUACAUGUCAAUCAGCUAAAAUGGGGCCAAUAAUUAAAAUUCCUUCUAUAAAUCAUUAAAUUAUGACUGAUUUGUUCUUUUUGCAUCUGAACAUUCACCUUAAGCGUAACACGAAACUUAAUUAAUGAUAUUAAACAAGUGCUUACGUAACUUAAUUGAUAAAAUCAAAUUAAUUAGUCCAAUAAUUUGAUACGAUAUUUUUCUAGAAUGCAUAUAAUUUGUCAUGUGACCAUAACGUUGAACUACUCUUAUAAUCACAUUUUCUCUUGGACUAGAAGGAAAUACAAUAUGCUUUACUUCAACUUAUAAUUAUUUCUAAUUUCUCUUUUUUGCUUUUCUUAUUUUCAAUUAAAAAAAAAAACGUAACAAGAACACAACAAUCGAACUAAGAGAGAAUUUUUGUAUUUCAGGACUACUAGCUACUCACAGCUUUUAAUGUAUUCUUUAUGUGUAAGUUUUAAAGUUUGACACAUUUGGGCACGGAGCAAAUUAUAGAACUUCUAAAUAAACAAAAAUUAGAAAGUAACUCCAAAAGCAAAAGCAAAAGCCAUACCCAACACAAAAGAAAAUUCAGCUACUUUUGCUGGAAGAAAGAGGGAUACAAAAGAAGUGGUCAAUUAUUAUAAUCUUACCUAAAUUCGUAAAUCAAAUUUGUCUUUACAAUUAUUUUUCUUAAUUAAUUUUCUAAUGAUAAAGCAUAUCUUAUACUCUUAAGAAUUUCUUUGAUUCACUAUUGGCUCCCAAAAGUUCAAUUAAGUUUUGAAUAUUCAAGCAACCCAUGAGUUCUAUAUACUUGCAAAUAAAGUUUGAGAAAAUAAUAACAAUGUGUUAUUAACUCCCUCACUUUUUCAACUACGAGUAUUCUAACCCACAUAGUUUCAACAAAACAUUUUCCAGCAAAUACGUAGAUAAAUAUGCAAUAGAGUUUGAUGAGUUGAAACAACAAAAAUCAACCAUCUAAAAUGCAAAUAAUAGUCUUUUAUAAGAGAUAAAAAAACAUACUAGACAAAUAUAAGGGAAAAUAUCGAUACCACAAUUCAAUAGACUUUUCAAAUUAAAAUAUCGAUGUUUCAAUUUUCCCUAACAAAAUUAUUGCAAAAAUAUAAACCUAUUAAUAGUUGUGUCCACGACCGGGGUGGCUCAAGGGACAUGAGGUAGUAAAAAAAACUUUAUUUUAGGACAUCUACAUUUUGAGAGCUUUAAAAAAUUUAAUAGUUAAUUUUGUGAAGUUAAUUUUUCUUUGAUAAUAUUAAUGAUUGUAAAAUAACAAGUCCAAAAUCUAAAUUAAAAAAAGGAAAACUAUGUAUAUAGAAAUAUUUUAAAAUUUUAAAUUAAAUUACUCAAAUUUUCAUAAUAAUAAAUAAUGUUUUUAUAAUAAUAUUCAAGUAUUAUAUUGAGAACACAUGACUAAUAUCGUGUUAUUUAAAUUAUUCUUUAUUUUAUAAGUAAUAAUUUUACCAUGUAAAUUAUUAUCAUAGAUUAAUACUACACUAAAAAUCAUAACUAUGAAAAACCAAGAAAAGGUAAUACAAAUUUUUUUUUAUAUAUGUCUAUAUACCUACUGCAUACUAAAAUUUGAUUUUAGAUCACUAAUUUUAUUAAAAUAAUAAUACAUAAAAUUUAAACAUGCAUAACAAAAAUUUACACUAAAAGCUAACAUCCAAAAAUCCACAAGAGCACCUUAGAAAAAAUGCAAGCAAGAGUAUCAACUUGUAACUUGCAUUGAGACAGUGUAUUAAUGUUUCUUAUUUUGGCGUUUGUUCAAAUUAGAUGACAUUAUAUUUACCUCGAUAGUUUUGAAUAUUUUAGAAUCAGUUUUAAGUUCUAACUCGUAAAAGUAUUGCAAAUUUUUUACUUGAAUAUUGAAUAUGAAACAAAUUAUUAUCAAAAUUUAAAAGAAAUCAACUAUUAAGUAGGUUUUCAAUAUCACAAUCAUUAUAACAAAUAUAUGCUUCACGGUUCAUUAAAACAAGUUAUGAUUAUUCAGAGAAACAUAUGGAUUCUGAAUCUAUUGAGAUGACUCAAGAAUUUUGCUCAUUCGAUUACGUUAGUCUUGGACAGAUUUCGUCAACGAAAUUUUUCGAUGAGCUUUCUGUUAAACAUUAUAUAAACGUUUUCUCUCAUGUACGAUGUACGGAUGGUUUUGCUUCUGUCAUUUGCCAAUUGCGGCAAUUCUCUGGCUAGAAUAAUUUUUGCAAAUAUUGCCAUGAAAAUCAUAAGUGAAAUCUGAAACUUCCCAGUGUCAUUUUUUACCUAUAUGGUCAAAAGUGGGAUAUUUUUAAAAUUUUCUCUUAGACAUGUGCAAGAAUCCAAAUAUGUAUUUAGACCAAAUUAACAACUUAAGCUAAAAUUGAGGGUUUGAUACUGUGAAAUUCCAAAAAAAGAAAAUUUUGUUUUACAUGAAACAAAAAAAUAAUCCAAACUCCCAUUAAGGUAGGUUUGAUAGGCGGGUAACGUUUAAUUAACUCCGAUUCAAUUAUGAAUUUUAGAUUAGAUUUUUAUCUUGGCAAAGGAAUAAACUUAACUUUCUAAUUUGUCCUAACCGCGUUUAAUAUAAUAGGCUUUAUUUUAACUUUUAAGGAUUUCUAAUUUAGCAUUUUACUCCUCUUAAUUAUUUUCAAGUUAAAAAAACUCAAGUGUAACAAGUAGUCGACGAUUAAAUUGAGAGUGAAUUAAUGUGAAUGCAGAAUUUCAGGACUACUCACAGCCUUGAAUGUAUUAAUUAUGGGACGAAAUUACAAAUUAUCAUCACCUUUAUAAACUCUAAAUUUUUUAUUUUUUUUUUGAGUUUCUCCUCUAAGAAAUUCUGGAAUAUCACAACAAAAAAAUUAAGCAAAGGUGGAAGCUUCUCUUCUCAAAUCUCUGUAGAAUCGAGAAAUGAAUUCAUCAGCUUUUUCGUCUACGUGGUUGAUCAUUUCACCGUUAUCAGUAUCUGAUGUUAGAGGAAAAGGCGAGUCAGUGAUUCUUAAUUGCCUCACCGUUGGAGUCCUUCCAAAUCCAGGCAAAGCAGGUGAUGCUGUUUCGCUCUGAAGCAUUUCUAAUGCCUUCAAAACAGCAGCGUUCAUCAUUGAAACGUCGUCGUGUUCAGGCUUACUAAUGCGCUUGUUGAUGUUGAAGGGGAGGUGAAAAGCCGGGCUGUUACUGCAGCUGAACUCGUAAUACUCUUUUGAAGUUGAUUGAUGAAUAUUAUUAUUAUUAUGGCCCUGGAACAUCAGAUUUUGGAAGGCGGCUUUGCCAGCUAUCUUACCACGUUUCAUUAGUAAAUUGAGAUUGAACAUUAGUUUUCUCUUUGAUGAUAAUCCUUUUCUUAGCAUGAAGUAAGCCACACGGACUAUCUUGUAGAACUUUUUAGCUACAACGGGCAAUUUUUGAUCCAUUUCUCUGUCUAAAAAUUCACGUAUAGACUUUUUUUUAUUUAGUGAUUGUGAGUUUUUGUUGGUUCACAACUCACAAGAAGGAGAGACAAUUAUUGAUGAAAGCUAAAAGAGAGGAGAUGGAGUUUGGUGUGGUUUUAUGAGAAGCAAUGAGUGAGUGGUAUAUAUAGGGGGAUUUUCCUAAAGAGGAAGAGGACGCAGUGAAGUAUUCUAAUAUAUUUUUAACUUUUUAGAAUUGACACGUACAUUUAGGCACGGAAUAGACCACGUAUAUUACGACGACUUGAGAUUCAAUAUUAUAUUGCUUCAAUUAUUAGAGGAGCUGAUUUUCUAGAUCCAGAGUCCUUUUAAGUCACUUUCAAAGAUUUUUCUCCCUCUCCUUUCACAUGAAUUAAUUGCAAAUUUUACUAUAUUAUUUUCUUAAUAGCAAACAUACUUUAUGGUGAAAGGAAAAGGAAGAGAGAGACUAAAGAAGGUAAGUGGAAAAAAAAGGGCUUGAAGGUACUCAAUCAUAGAGGAAGGAGUUUGAAAUGUAAGUUAAACAAAACACAACAAACAAUUUAAAAAAAAAAUGCAUAUUUAGUAUUGAGUAGUGGAUAUAAUAAUUAUGUAUGUCCUAAUCCAUUCUAUGGUACAUUAAUAAUUGUGAGAAAGAUGAGGAUGAAUAGGCCAAAUUUAAAGGUCUCCAGCUUUUACAUUAAUUAACACAUUUUCUGAGAUUGUAUAUGGCAGUAUUGUACUUCACGAUUUUAAAUUGAGAUCAAUGAUCGUUAUUUUUAGUAUUCUUCGUAUAGUUAAUUUUGAAUAUUUAAAAUUUAAUUUAAUCAAAUUAAUUCUUUUAAUAUUAAAUAUGAAAAGUCAUUAAAGAAAGUAUUAUCUCAUUAAACAAAUCCUACAAGAAUUCCACAAGUUUCAUAAGAGAGAUGAGUGUGCUGCCUUGGCUCAAUUAAUUUCAAUAGCGUACGAGUGCAAGUAACCCUUCAUAGGAGAAAAAUCCACGUGGCUUCAUUAUGGCCUAGUAAUUACAUUUACACCUCUAUUAUUUACAUGUCAAUCACCUAAAAUGAGGCCAAUGAUUAAAAUUUAUUCUAAUAAUCAUUAGAGCUUUGAUUGAUUGUUCUUUUCAGUUUAUCCAAUUUCACCCGGACAUUCUAACGAAGAACUUAAUUAAUGAUUUUAAACAGGUGCUUAAGAAAUUUAAUCGAUCAAAUUGAUUGACUAUAGAAAGCUCCUUGUAAUUACAUCCUUCACUAAAUACAAUAAUAUAAUUUUUUAUUUACAAGUUUAGACUUUGGCUUUUAUAGGUUUUAUAAUUUGAAUGUACAAUGGUUAUUUACAUCAGAGGUCCAAAAAUAACUAGGUCCAUUUUAACCGGAUCAAAUACAACUUAAUUUACUCUUCAAUAAUUUAGAAUAAAAAAAUCACUAAUAAAUGUUUCAAUUUUCAAAUUUGAACUUGUAAUAUAGAAGUACAUUUGAUAACAAUUGAACCUAUUUAAUUUAAAUCUUGAAUACCUCAAGAAUUACUUUUCUUUUAUAAAAAGUGUGCAUGCAUAAAAUUAGGCAGCUUUAUUUAUGAUUAUUAUUGCCCACUUACGUAAAAAAAAAGUACUACAAAUUGUAAGACUUCUAUAAAUAAACUCAAAAGAGAAAGCAACUCUAGAAGCAAAAGCCAUACCCAACACAAAAGAAAAUUCAGCUUCUUUUGGCCCGGGGAAAGAGGGAUACAGAAAAUUCAGCAAUUUUCACAUAUAGCAAAUAUAAAAAUUAUAUUUGUGUGUUGUAGCUAUAGUUAAUUUGCAUAAUUGCGCUUCAUAGCAAAUUUUAUGUUUGCUAUGGAGCUUUUGAUUUGUAUAAUUUGCUACAAACAUCCAAUUUUAUACAAAUUGUUUAGUUUUGUAUAAAUUCAUUUAUACAUUGUAAUUUAUAUAAUAAGAUAUAUAUUUGUAUAAUUAUAAGUGUAUAAGACGAAAAUAUAUGUAUUUGUAUUUGUAUAUACAUUUUUCUCUCGCUUUAUACAAACACACACGUUUUAUACAUUUUAUACCGAAAUGUAUAAAACAACUAAUUGUAUAUCGAAUCAGAUGGCAAAAAAAGUGGAUGUUUGCUGCGAAUUACAAUUAAAAUAAACUAUGGCUAUAUCAUUUAAUUUGAAUUAAUAGUUUGUUAUUUCAUACAAUUUUCCCUUAUUAAAUUCCACAAAUCUAAUUUCUCUUUACUUUUUUUUUCUUAAUUAAUUUGCUAACAAUAAAGACAUAUAUUAUUAGUAAAGACUCACUUUGAUUCAGUUGGCACCCAAAAGUUCAAUUAAAUUUUGACUAUUCAGGCACCCCAAAAUUUCUUUACUUGCAAAUAUAAAGUAUGAGAAAAUAUUAUAAAGUUGUUCCAAGUUCAAACCCACUCAAAACGUGACCAUGUACCAUGCUAUUUGUUGCGCCGUAAUUUGACUAUUUCUUUAGAAAAAAUCACUUUUUGAAAUGUUCUAAGUAUAAAAUAAUUUGAAAAAUACUUAGAAAGAGUCGCCACUUAAUUUUUUAAAGAAAUUAAGAAAACUUAUAAAUUUCAAAGAUUUAAACAGAAAAAAUCAUUGAAAAUACCAAAGAAGGUUCGAGGUUCAAUUUACACUUCGAGAAGGGUUUAAGCAUUCGAAGUGUCCGCUAACAUGCGGUUGACCUGCGACUUGACUAAAAUAUAUUUGACUAUUUUUUAGAAAAAAUAAUGAUUUAACAUAAAAAAUAAUAACUUACAAUAUAUUCGAUUAACUUUGAGAAAAUAAUUAAAUAAAUGACUCAUUUUAUUUCAUUUUCAUUUUUUAGAGAAAGGGGUCAAAAAUGAAAUACUUGGCUUGAAAUAAAAGUGAUUAGAAUAAAACUAGAUUAAUUAGAAUUUAUUUAAUUCAUUUUAAAAUAACUUAAACCAAUUUAAUAUAUUAAAGCAUGAAGAUCAUUUUAAAUUAAUUGAAGAAUAAAAGUUUUGACUAACGAGAAAAUGACUUAAGUAAGUAUUUAUAAUAAUAUUUUACAUUAUAAGAUUAACUAAAAAAAAAUAGUUAGAUAAAGAAUAAUUUUUAAAUUUUUGGAAAAUUGGAUCUUAAUUGAAACAACUUGGUCAAUUAGGACUUUAACAAAAUUAAAAUUUAUUUACGUCAUUUUUUAGAAAUAAUAAUUUGAACCAACUUGGUAGACAAACCAAGACACUAUUUUAAUCUAAUUAAAGAUAAGUGAAAGUUUUUGACUAAAAAUAUUUGAAUAAGCAUAAGAGUUGAUAAAAUGAAUUUUUUUUAAAGAAACUAACAUAAAGAAAAUGGUUUAUCUUUUGGGGAAUUUAAUUAAAUUAAGUCGCAAAUAAAAAAAAACAAAUAAAUAAAUAAUCACACAAUUAAAUAAGUUAGAAAUUGAAUUUGGGCCUCCUUUUUGGGCCAAUUUCGCUGUAAUUUCUGGGGAUUUACUCAAUCCCGUUUUUGGUAUACAGCUGAUGUAUAUCAGUGUAUAUCGGCAUGUAUAUCAGCCCUUUUCAGGUAUUUCCUGCUUCCAAACAUAUGUAUUCCGCCUCAGCCCUGUGUUUUUACGUUUUGGGCCUGAAUAUCAGCGUAUACCGCUGUAUACAACAUGUAUACAACCCACUUUCGACUUUUCGGGACCUGUAAUUUAACUUUCCGGCAACUUGAACAAGAUGAGGCUGACUCGAAAUAAUUCAUCGAUAUGCAAGGGUGGAGUCGUAAGAGAACUCAGAUUGAUGUCACAUAUAACAAAGAAGAAGAGAAAAAACAAAGAAGAGGAUUAGUGUCUAUACUUGUACAAAUUAAAAAUAGAACAACACAUCAUCCAUGAAGUCAUUAUCAUGAUCUUACUGCCCAAGAUAGAAAAAGAACAAUGCAACAAGAGAAAUGAAUUGUAGAGCACCAAGAAUCAAUUGUAAUUUAGUGCUACACUACCUAUUGGACUUAAAAUUAAGAGACAAUUAAAUGACGAAAACAAAUUAAACAAGUAGGAGCAUUAAUUCUUACUACUUUCUUCACUGGAACAAGACCAAAAUAAAAUCACGUGAAUACCAAAUCAGUCCAUAUAUACAUCACCAAAGGCAUGCUUGACAAGGGUAACAAUUCAAUACAUGCUAACGGGAAUGCUUGAAUCGCAUAAAAAUGAAUUAGGAACGGACAUACAAUGACUCUAACACAUACUCAAAACAACUACUAAUAUAGCCAAAAUAAUUGUAGAGAAAGAGAGAGCAAGCAUGUGAACUCCUACAUGUUGGACCGAGAAGGGAGCAACCUAAGACAUACUCUUAAAAUGCGACGAAAAACUCAUUGAUUCGGAUAAGAGUCAGUGAGUUAAAGCCUUUAUCACAAUCUAGCCUAACCAAACACAUACUAGUCAAAAUAAAUGUUGACUCUAGCUUAUUCAUAGUUAGGCAAGAAAUAAAAAAAAAUAAAAAAAAUCAGACAAUAACAAUUAAAUCUUCAGCAAAUGGGCUACUGCUACAUCACCAAAAAUAGCUAAACAAUAUACAAAUCAUGCUAAGAAAUAUACUUUCCAAAGAGACCAACAAGAUGACAAAUCUUAAGGCAGCACAACAAUUCCUAAUUAAUAUACAACAGCAUAGCAUAUGCUUCAGCCUUGCAACAAAAUCAUUCGAUGCCUACAUAUAUAUUUGAAUGCUAAGACCGAGAACAAAUGAGCAACCACCUCUAAUACGUACCCAACUCUCGAUUAACCAUGAGAAGUCAAACACACUCAAGCGAUCUCAAAAUCAAGAAAAAAAAUCAGCCGAUAUGAACAAAUACAAUUUAUUCGAGAAGAAAGGAAGAAAAGUAAGAACAAGGAUAUUACCUUUCCCGGAGCAGCGAUACUAGAAACAAUGAGCAGCGGAGAAUACCGACUUCUUCUCCCACGAACUUCGAACACAAAUAGCAGGCUGAGAAAAUCCGAGCGGCGGGAUAUCCUCGAAAAUUAGAAUCAGAAAGCUAAAUAUAUCGUUUUGAAGUGCAAAAAUGACUAUUGCCUCGGAACUAAGCUUAAAACUUGUCAAAAAAUCCCAUUUUCCCAAAAAACUCUCUCCUCCUAAUUGUGACCCAAAGAGACGAAUAUAUAGACGGAAAUUAGUGUGAAACGAUUGUAAUUUGAAUUUUGAAUUGCUCUUUUCGAAGCAACAGUGGAGAGAUUCAGAAAUCUCUGAAAAGGGGACGUGAGAGUAGUUGGACGUUGCAAGCGAGGAGGACGACAACUUUUCUCCGGAUUUGCCGGAUUGAUGCGACUGGGCGCUGGAUUUCCGGGAUUCUUGGCGUGAAGAAGAAACGCGAUGGGGUCGGUUUGGUUUCGUGAAAGAAGAAGAAGACGCAGGGGUUGGGUCUGGUAUGCUGUAUUGUGGGUUGCUAUUGUAAUGUUGUUUGGAAUUGAUGUAUGGGUUACUGGAAAUGGGCUGGGAUAUGAAGUGGGAUAGUGGAAAUUGGGCCUGGGUUUGUAAUUAGGAAUUGGAUUGGCUAAAUUUGAGAGGAAAAUUCCCAAAACUUGGUCUUUUAAUGAGUUGGAGCAAGGUGAUGAGAUGGCUAGAAUUGCAAUAAAAGGGUAGGCAAAUAAAUUAACAAUCUAGCCAAAUUGAAUUCUUUUAGUUAAUUCGGCUAGUAAUUAAAUAAGACGAAUUAAUAUAAUUAACUAACGAACUUCUUAAUCUCAACAAAAUAAAAUAAUUAACUCAAUUAUAACUAAUAACUCGAAAAUAUAAACUAUUAAAUAAACUAAUUAAUCAAAUAUUUAAAUAAAACUAAAAUCUUUUUUGGGACGAUUUUUGAAUAUUUAUAAAAUAUACCCAUUAUAUACAUAAUUAUAUAAGAUAUGUUUACCAUUUAAAAUAUCAUAAAAGGUGACAAAACUAUUUAAAAUAACUUGCAAAAUAUUUUGAAUUUUUAUUAAGUCAAUUAUUUUAACUCGUUUGGAAAUUAAGAAGCUCAAUGAUUAAUUUAUAUUGUGGACGUCCAAAAUUGGGUGUCAACACUAUUAACUAAACAUGUGACAAUCUAAAAGAUAACAAGAAGUGUAAGGUUUUAAUUCUUGUUGAAAUUAAAUUUAUUAUUCAAUUUUUAUAUCUAAAUUUUUUGAAUUUUAUAGUUUCUUAGCUAGCUGGAAAGCACAUCUGUUAAGCUAAGCUUGAUCUAAUAAAAUGAGUAAAGUUGGUUUCAUUAAAACAAAAUCAUUUUUUAGUACCAAUAAAUAUGCACAUGGUUAAAAAAAGUAUUAAAGUCUUUAUUGACAUUAGUUAAUCGCUAUUGAAUUCAAUAUCACUAUAGAUUUUAAUAUCAUUUAUUAAAAAUAUUAAAAUAUAAUAGUCACUAAUAAUUAUCUUUAAGAAAUAUAUUUAGCGGUAACUAAGUUUUAUUUACUUUCUCUCGAGCUAGGUCCUUCAAACGUAUGAUGUUAUUAUUAUAUUUAGAACCGUCCUUUAAAGGCUGCUGAAGGUAGGCAAAGUCAACGACCUUUUUGAUUUGUCAAACUUGCGGUUAUUCAUCUUUUUAUUUAUUUCAUGUCAAAUUAUUUGCCUAUGCUUUUAUUAUCGCGUAUGAAAUUUCUUUUCCACAAUUAAAACCAACCUAUGCUUUUAUUUCUGCAUGCAGAUGUCAAAAUCUAAACUUGGUUAGGUCUUAUUACCAAAAGAUAUUGGAAUACAAUUUUAAUACUUCAAGCUAGGAUUAGUGGUAAUUGGUAAACUUGUAUUGGAGUUCAUUCAUUUCAUUCUACAACUCUCCCUUCAUUCUGAUUUUUUCUUCUUUGUAUUUUAAUAUUUUGUUUGAGAAAAAAACAUAGGAAAAUUAGAUAUGAAAGAAUUUUUGGAAUUGUAUAUUCAAUAUGAGUUGUAUUGCUAAAGACAAGGGUAUAUAAUUGAAUAGACUAAAACUCUUAAGUUAGGUUAAAAACUAAGCAAUUUCAAACAAUAUAAGAGAAAUUGAUAAAUAUAUAUAAUAUUUACCAAUUAUUUUAGUUUAAUUGAUAUCUCGAUAUUUUAGUCCCUGGUGGCUAGUAUCAAAAUAAAUAUGACCUAUUAAAGGCUUGAAAAUACUACUAAACUCAAAGGACCAUGUCUUGAAAAUGUUGAUAAGGAAAUGUGUUAUCAUAGCCUACACAAUUUGGGUGGACAAUAAGUGAAUGAAAUUGGAGAAGACUUCAUCAUUAACAUAUGUAAAUAGAUUUUUCAUCAUCAAUUAUGACGAUUAAAUCUACUGAAUUGGUGAUGAUAAAAAUGUAUACAUCAGUUAUUUGCUGGGAAAAGAAAUGGUGACGACUUAAAGAAGAAGAUAGUAAAGUCUUUGUUUCAAGUCUCAAAAAAUUAGGAGCACCAAAUUAACAGUAGAAAUAUUUUGAUCUUUAAAUUAAACUAUUCAAAUCUUUAUAUUGUUAAAUAAUAUUUUUAUCAUAAAAUCCAAAGUAAUAUAUUUCUAACAUAUGACUGAUAUCUUACUAAUUUGAAAUAUUCCUAAUAACAAUACUAUCUCAAAGAAGAUGAAACUAUAAAAGAUCAAAGAAGAUGAAACUAUAAAAGAAAAAAGGAAAAUUUGAAUAGGAGAAUUAGCUACACUAUUGAAGAAGACUUCUUGAAUUUGGUUGAAUUGUUUUGAAUUGAAAUGAUUAUAAAUGUGCAAGAUCAUCUUUGUUUAUAGAUGAUUUUUUGAAAGAAUAUUAUUGACACCAAAUAUAAAAAACUAACAAAUUAUCAAUGUUUCAAUAUCUUUCCUAACAAUUAUUUAGUCAAAAUACAUAUUCACUAGUAGUUGUGUCGAUGACCAUAAGAUUAGGAGUCUUACGCUCUAUUAACUGAGUUGGUCGAUACUUUAGAAACAACUAGACGUCUCCAUUCAAUUUAUGUAUUUUUCUUAUAUCUUCAUGUAAUUGUUUGCAUAUCAUACAGAUCAAGAGCAUUGUGUAAAAUUUUCACACACAUGUGAAACGUUUUACACUAAAUCCGCCAAAUUAUGUUCUUCUAAUUUUAUAUGUUUUUUUUAAUAAAAAGAACAAAAAAAAACUACUAAAAGUUACAUAUUUUUUUCAAGCAAUUUGUUAAGAUUGAAUUAAUAAAAAUAUAUCUUACUUUUUAUGAAUGGAUAGUUCUCUUUUGAGGUAUAUCUAAGCUAAAAAUCGACUUAUUUUUUAGCCAAAAAAAGUAACAAUACACAUAAAAAUGAAAUUAGAAAAAUAUACUUGAUUUUAUAAAUUGUUAUUCAUGUGCAUGCCUCAUCCUUUUUCUAAUUUAAUACUUUCCACUAAAGUCAACUAAUACACGAAAAUAAAACAUUAUCUAGAUAAUUCAGUAAAUAGAUUAAUUUCAACAAAUUAAGACACAAAUUAAUUUCUUGUGCCUCUUUAUUAUUUUGAAGAAAAUAAGUUAAGGUGGUUGUUUGUUUAUACGUAUAAUCUACUUCUUCAAUAAAGUUCUUUUAAUUAAAAGAGUCAAAGUCAAUGAUUCUUUUUUAAAAGUAAUCAGGAUAUUAAGAAAUUGUAAAUAUGUAUCAAUAUGAUCUACUUCUUCCACAAAAUUCUUAUACUUAUGACAUAUUAUUACAAUUAGGAUUGAUAAUAAAAGAGGUUCAUGUCUUAUCUUUCUAGAUAAAAACAAGGGUGAUGAGACCAAAAAUCAAGAGAGUUAGCUUCUUCUUUUUUUAGUUUAUACCCUUCCUCAGCCAAAACGAGAGGGAUAUUUAUACAAAUUUUCUCUUUGACAUGGUGCAAGAAUCUAUGUGUAAAUGAAUAAUUGAAGCUAAUUUUGGGCGUGUGAAAUAGUCAAAACGAAAUUCUAAAUAAAUUAAUUUGAAUUAUAUAUUCUCGUGGCUCUCACAGGAAUAGACUUAACUUGUUAAAUGCUAACCGAAAUCAGUAUAAAUAAGAAUAUAAUAUGCUCUAUUUUUAACUUUCACCAAUUUCUAAUUUAGCAUUUUGCUCCGACCCUCUAAUUCUCAAUGAAGUACCAAAAAAAGAAAAAGAGUAACAAAUAGUCGACAAUCAAAUUAAGAGUGAACCUGAUGGAUGCAAAAUUUCGCAACUUAAGCCUUGAAUGUAUUAGCCAGCGAAGCCAUAAUAAUUAAGAGUUUGGGGUUUUAAAUUUCGUAAAUAAACCGUCAAUCAAUUUUGUUAGAAUUUAUAAAUUAAUAUACAUAUAAAUUUAAUUAAUUCUCUAGUACAAGUAUAGGGUCUUAGGAAAGCUACUGGAUUCGUCCGAACCCAUGAAGUCCAGCCUAGCUCCGUCACUUGUAUUAGUUAUAGGAUGAAACUUCAAAUUAGCUUAAGGGAGGAUAUCAUCGAUUACCUUUAUAAACUCUUAACAUUAUUUUCUUUUUCGAUCUUCUCUUCUAAAAGUUUACCGAAUACCUUAACAAGGAAAAAAACUCAUAAACAUUAAGCAAACUCUUAAAUAUUCUUAUGUCAUUUUCACCCAUCAAAGAAGCAAUAGUAUUUUUCAACACAAAAAUUUAAAAGUAGAGUGGCUGUUAUACCACUGUUCAUCUCUUUCCUGCCAAGACUUGCCCAUACUUACCCACUCCCUUUUAGAAAUUAAGUGGCCUGGAAAGUAUAGUACAUACACUUUCUAUUUUACAAUUAUUAUAAGACUACAAAAGUGAAAAUUACUCUCCAAUAAGAAGAAAAAUAAGUUUUUCUUUUUCUUUUUUCUGUUUUAGAGUUUAUUUACAUAAAAAAAAAUCCACAAAUCAAAUUUCCCUUCCACUUUUUUUUUCUUUGUUCUUUUUUUGUGCUGCAAUUUUCUAUUGAAACAGACAUAUAUGCUAUACACAAGUGUAGGGAAAAAAGAGUUAGACUAUUAGGAGCGGAAUUCAACUUUUGAAUAUUUACUAUAGUUAGAAGCUAGGAGUAUCAUUUAGAGUACCCUUUUUAAGUUAAAGAUUUAAAGUGACUUCACUUAUCCAAAAUACAAACUCCUAAUUAGUGUGAAUAUAUAUAUAUAUAUACAUCUGGCAUUCAUCCUCAUCUUUUUUUACACAAUUAUUGUUGUACCAUACAAUGGAUUAGGAGACACAUAAUAUUAUCCACUACUGAUCAUUCUUGUCCUGGAACUGUCAAAAAGACCUUGUCCAUGCAUUUUACUUGAAGUAUAUUUAUGCAAGAAAUUACUAAAAAGUCACAUUUUUUCAGAAACUUAUUAAGAAGAAAUUAAUAAAAAUACAUCUUAUCUAUGAAAAAAUCAGAUAUGCGAAAGAAUUGUUGGAAUUGUAUAUUUAUGCAAGGGCAAAUAUGAGUUGAAUUGCUAAAAAUAAGUGUAUAAGUAAACUAAACUUGGUAUUUGACCUAAAGGUGUAAACACCGUGGCCUGCAAAGUCUUGGUAUGAACACCAAAAGCAAAUUGCAAUAAAGAUAGAGAAUUGAGGUUAUUUUUUGGGUGGGGUUAGGGGUUCACGGAGUAGUGCUCAAUUAUUGAACUCUUAGAAUUUUUCACAAAAUAAAUACACAUUUUUCCUAUUUUCUUUUUCUUUAAUAUUUUUUAAAUUAUGUAGUUUAAUUAUAUACUACUAAAAAAUAUUGGACCCUAAGAAAAACAAUACAAAGUCAAUAAACUCACUCAAUAUAUAUGUGACGAUGUACCAUUCAAUUUCCGAAACGUGGCACAAUCUGAAAGAAAAACAGGAAGUAUAAGUUAUGUUAUUUUAGAAUUAUUUCUUCAACCUAGCAGAAAAAGUACUUGAAUUUAAUCUAUGAAAAUUGAAGCUCUUUAAUGCGUUGUAAGAAUCAAGGCUUGUAUUUUUUUUAUUCGUGAAAAUGAAGGAAGAAAAGGCAAUACAUAUAAUUUAUAAAGCCAUACAAACACGCUGAUCAUGUACCAUGCAAUUAUUUGUGAAUUAAACUUGGCAUAAUCUCAACGAAAACAAGUAGUACACGUUUUUUCUACUUCUUUAUACUUUUUAAAAUAAAAACUACUUCUUCAACUUUAAUUUCAGAUAACAUAUAUUUGAAUUUCACAAUUUCUUUGUCUAGAAGAUAUUCAUAAAAAUUGUUAAGUAAAGCUAGAUCUAUCCUAUAAAAUAAAGAUGAGAGUAAUGAGUAUCAUUUAGAGUAUCCUUUUAGUUAAAGAUAUAGAGCGACUGCACCUAUCUAAACAAUCUCCUAAAUGUGAAUAUAUACAAUGGCAUGCAUAUUAUUGUUGAACUAUAUAUAGAAUGGAUUAGGAGGCACAUUGUUCAAAUACAAAUUAGUUCAUUAGUCAGUUAACUAGUUAACAUUGUUUGCACUAGUUAGUUAACACUGUUUGCACUAGUUAGUUAACGGAUUAGUUGGUUGCUCAACUAUGAGCUGUCAAUAAUUAGUUAGUUUGUUAUCUCAAUUCCUAGCUAUAAAAGCACAAGUUAAGAGUCACACUUUGUAUGUUGUUGCAGUUAAACAUCAAUAAAAUUCUCCCCUUUCUUCUUCAGUUUUCUGUCUAGAUUCAUCAAUGAACUGAUGAGCUGAUUUGCUCACAGUUUUCACAUGGUAUCAGAGCUCUGAGCAAUUGAUGUUGGUUGUGUAUGAGCAGAAGUUUUAGACGAGAACAGAAUCUUCUUCUUCAAUAGUUUUUUUUCCUUUUGAGCAUUCAUCAAUGGCGCCUAAAAUCGAUCAAAACGAUCCUCUGUACAUCGGACCAUCAGACGCUUCAGGAGCUGUAGUAAUUCCCAUAAAAUUGACUAGAUCAGAGAACUAUGGGAUCUGGAGCAGGUCGAUGAGGAUUGCACUUUUAGGGAAGAGAAAGUUUGGUUUUGUGACUGGAGCUUGUACUAGAGGAUUGUACAAGGAUGAGCUUCAUGAACAAUGGGAAACAUGUAAUGCGAUUGUAUUGUCUUGGCUGAUGAACACUUUUAGUGAUGAUCUACUCAGUGGAAUCGUGUAUGCAACUACUGCAUUUUCAGUUUGGGCAGAUUUGAAAGAGCGAUUUGACAAGGUGAACAGAAUGAGGAUCUAUCAGCUGCAUAGGGAACUCACCACACUCACACAAGGUACAGAUUCUGUAUCACAUUAUUUCACUAAAUUGAAGACAUUAUGGAGUGAAUAUGAUGUUGUGGUACCAAAUCCCUGUUGUACAUGUCCUCAAUCGAAAGAUUAUGCUGAUCAUCUGCAGCAACAGAGGUUAAUUCAGUUUUUAAGUGGUUUAAAUGACUCUUAUGAUCAAGCUAGGAGACAGAUCUUGUUGAAGGGAACUACACCUUCCAUUAAUCAUGCUUAUGCUAUGGUUAUUGAAGAUGAGAUUCAACAUUCAUCAGUUGUUGUUAAUGUAGUAGAGAAACCAGAAUCAAUAGCACUUAAUGUGAACAAAAAUCAAGGAAGAGAGUAUUACAAAGGGAAGAGGUGUGACUUUUGUCAUUUCACUGGUCACACUAAGGAGAAUUGCUACAAGUUGAUUGGUUACCCAGAGGAUUGGAAGCAAAGGAGAAAGUCAGGAUCAGGCUAUGGAAAUGGCAACACACGCAGUACAUCAAACUCUACCAGUGGAGGUGGUUAUGGUAGACAGUAUUCUACUAAUUAUGUGAAUUUGAGAAAUGCAGGACACUCUAAUGACUAUGGAGGACAGAACUCAACAAACAAUGCAUCUGGUAGCCAUUGUGAUUACUCUCAAGGGACUUUCACUAAUCAAGAUGAGAGCAGGGCUUUCUUGGCAAAAGGUCAUGCACUCACAGACCAUGAAUACAAGCAGAUACUAAACAUGUUAAACAAAGAAGGACAGGACUCUAAGCAGGUCAACAUGGCAGGUAUAACUAUUUGCUUAAUGUCAAAUAAUUUCACUCAGGAUUGGAUCAUAGAUUUUGGUGCAACUCAUCACAUUAUAGCAGACAAUCGUUCACUCACAAAAAGUCAGGUGUUAGAUAAAUCACAGAAGAACCAGGUACACUUGCCUACAGGAGACAAGGUAGACAUUAGUCACAUUGGUGAGGCAUUUGUGUUUGAUGACAAGACAGUGAAGAAUGUUUUACAUGUUCCAGACUUCAAAUUCAGCCUAUUAUCAGUUUCAAAAAUCACAAGGGAAUUGUCUUGUUUUGUAUCAUUCUAUCCUGAUUUUUGUGUAUUUCAGGUCCUCUUCAGUGGCAAGGUGAAGGGGAUUGGUAAAGAAGAUGGAGGUUUAUACAUGUUCAACGGUAAAAUUCCCCCACACAAGCAAGAAGUUACAUGUCAGAAGAAUGUGAUUACUGCAGGAGCAAUAGUCAAAGAUGUUGAUCUGUGGCAUAGGAGGCUUGGACAUCCUUCUGUUCAAGUCCUGAAGAUUUUAAAACUAGUUCAUAACAAUAAAGACAGUGAAGUUCUUUCUAAAUGUUCAAUUUGUCCAUUAGCUAAGCAAACUAGACUUGCAUUCCCUAUCAGUAGCUCUAGAGCAUCUAUAAGUUUUGAUGUUGUUCACAUGGAUCUUUGGGGGGCCUAUAAGACCCCUACUAUGGAUAAGAAACAAUAUUUUCUAACAAUUGUAGAUGACUAUAGUAGAUUUGUAUGGACCUACCUGUUGCAAUUGAAACCUGAAACCAUUGUUGCCAUCAAAAAUUUCAUAUUAAUGGUCAAGACUCAAUUUGCUUCUCAUGUUAAAGUUGUGAGGUCUGAUAAUGGUGCUGAGUUCUUUAACUCUCAGAGCACAAAGUUAUUUCAGGAGCUAGCUAGACAUUCUACACCAAAGUAGUUGUCCUCACACACCUCAACAAAAUGGUGUGGUAGAGAGGAAACACAGACACAUUCUCAACAUUGCUAGAGCUAUCAGAUUCCAAUCACAUUUGCCUAUUAGAUUUUGGGGCUACUGUAUUAAGGCUGCUGUCUACUUAAUGAACAGGUUACCUUCAUCUUCCAUUUAGAACAAAAGUCCUUAUGAAAUGCUUUAUGCCAAACAACCUUUUGUCUCUCAUUUAAGGACAUUAGGCUGUCUUUGUCAUGCCUUAGUAUUGCCAAAAGGUGAUAAGUUUGCAGAAAGGUCUGUCCCUGCUAUUCUCAUAGGAUAUUCAGAGCUUUAAAAGGGAUAUAUAUUGCUGGACAUUAAAUACAAUAAGAUCUCUGUACAUAGAGAUGUGAUUUUUCAGGAGGAUGUUUUCCCUUUUGCACAAGUGAUGCCACAAACACAGUCACCAUUCACUGUUUUUAACUCUCCUUUAGAGUUGGAUACUACUCAUACUGAUACUGCUAGGGAUCCUCAUAUUGAAGACAGUAUUAUGUUGGAUAGUGAGGAUGUUCAGCAUGAUAAUGAGAUUUCAGAAGAUUUCACUUGUAAGAAUUCUCCAUUACAAGUUGUUUCUGAUCAGCCUCUUAUUGUGCCUACAGAUCCUCCCAUGAGAAGGACCACAAGAAGCACUAAAGAGCCUACUUGGAUGCAAGAUUAUACUACUGUUGGCAAGAAGCAAAGUAGUAUCAGGCAUCCUUUGAUUAAUUCUCUAUGUUAUGACAGCUUAACACCAUCUUAUAGAGGUUAUCUAAGUAAAGUGUCUGAUUCUGUGGAGCCCAAACACUUCAGACAAGCAGUCAAAGAUGAUAGAUGGAUACAUGCCAUGAAGCAAAAGAUACAAGCUCUUGAAGAUAACAAAACAUGGAUGGUAGUUGAUUUACCACCAGGGAUGCAUACAGUGGGAUCUAAAUGGGUGUAUAAGGUGAAAUAUAGAGCAAAUGGUGAGGUGGAAAGGUUCAAGGCCAGGCUGGUUGCUAAGGAUAUAGUCAAGGCAAGUAAGGAUUGGACUAUCAUGAUACUUUUUCACCAGUUGCAAAGAUGGUAACAGUUAGAUGUGUGAUUGCUCUAGCAGUGUCUAAAGGUUGGAAUCUCUCUCAAAUGGAUGUCUACAAUGCAUUUCUCCAAGGUGAUCUAGAUGAGGAGGUAUAUAUUGAGAUGCCUGAAGGUUUCAGAAAGCCAGGGGAGACGAAAGUUUGCAAGUUACUUAAGUCAUUAUAUGGGCUUAAACAAGACCUCUAGACUAAUGGAACUUAAAACUUACUACUGCCUUGUUAUCUGCUGGUUUCAAUCAGAGUGCACAUGAUUAUUCUCUUUUUACUCUUAAGAAAAAUGAAGGACUUGUCAUUAUCCUAGUCUAUGUUGAUGAUUUAUUAAUCACUGGCAACAAUGCUCAGAUGAUCACAGAAGCCAAGGAGAAUCUACAUCAACAUUUCAAGUUAAAAAAUCUAGGGGAGCUGAGAUAUUUUUUGGGAAUUGAAGUGUUAAGAUCCUCUAAGGUUGUUGUUUUGAAUCAAAGAAAGUAUGUUUUAGAACUUAUUUCUGAUGCAUGGCUCACGGGUGCUAAAACUGCUCUCACUCCUCUUGAAUCAAACCUCAGACUCACCUCAGUGGAAAAUGAUUUGGUGAAUGGGGUUACUGGAGAUGAGAUCCUUCAUGACAUCACAGCUUAUCAGAGAUUAGUUGGAAAGCUUCUUUAUGCCAAUAUCACUAGACCUGACAUUAGCUAUGCAGUACAAACUCUCAGUCAGUUCAUGCAGUCUCCUAAAAGGUCACAUUGGGAAGCAGCUACAAGAGUAGUAAGAUACUUGAAGGGAACAGUAGGCCAAGGUGUUUGGUUGCAAGCUAAACCUGCCACUAUGUUAACUUGUUGGUGUGACUCUGAUUGGGCUAGUUGUCCAAAUACUAGAAGGUCUAUUACAGGUUAUGUGGUGAAGUUUGGUGAUUCCUUGGUGUCCAGGAAGUCUAAAAAAUAACACACUGUCUCUAGGAGCUCAGCUGAGGCCGAAUACAGGAGCAUGGCUUCAGCUGUAUCUGAGCUCACCUGGUUGUUGGGAUUAUUUACUGAGUUAGGAGUUCCUAUUCAGGUGCCUGUGACUCUUUUUAGUGACAGUAAGUCAGCCAUUCAGCUUGCAGCUAAUUCCGUCUUCCAUGAAAGGACUAAGCAUAUUGAAAUUGACUGUCAUUUUAUCAGAGACAAGAUCAAAGCAGGGGUAAUAGACACUGUACAUGUUCCUACUCAACAUCAAGUUGCAGACCUUUUGAACCAAAGGAUUGCCUCAAGCUCAACAUUUGCAUCUUCUCAGCAAGCUUGGUGUGCUUAAUGUCAUGCACCCUUCAGCUUGAGGGGGUGUGUUCAAAUACAAAUUAGUUCAUUAGUCAGUUAACUAAUUAACACUGUUAGUUAACACUGUUUGCACUAGUUAGUUAACGGAUUAGUUGGUUGCUCAACUAUGAGCUAUCAAUAAUUAGUUAGUUUGUUAUCUCAAUUCCUAGCUAUAAAAGCACAAGUUAAGAGUCACACUUUAUAUGUUGUUGCAGUAAAACAUCAAUAAAAUUCUCUCCUUUCUUCUUCAGUUUUCUGUCUAGAUUCAUCAAUGAACUGAUGAGCUGAUUUGCUCACAGUUUUCACACACAUAAUUAUACCCACUAUAAUCAUAUUGAAUAUGCACUUUUUAUUUUAAUUUUUUGUUGCUUUUUCUCUGUUUUAUUUAUUUACAUUUCAAACCCCUUCUGGAAGAUGAGCUGUAAAUAUCUUGUCCUAGAGCCGACAAAAGCCCUUCUCUACUAGAAAUCACAAUUUUAUUUUAUUUUUAAAUUGAUAAUAAUCACAUCUCUCUUUAUCCGAGAUUGAUGUUUCAUUAAUAUAAUUGUUGCAUAUAAUUACAUGUUCUUAAAUUAUUUCUAGCUGAAUACAUAUUGGAUUUCUGAUUUUGAAUAUGUCCAAGUUUUAAUUAGUCAUGUUAAGUGACCUGGGAGAGGAAAUGUGAUGUUAUUUCCUAAAUCCUAAUAUAACUUGAACAAUCUCAAUUUCAUCAUUUAAGUUAAUACUCUCUUCCGUUUUUUUUUAGUAGUUAUUAUUUUCUUUUUUAGAAUCAAACGAUAAGAAUUAAUUACUUCCUUGUGAACGUAGCUUUGAUUUCAAAACCAAAUAGCCCAAAGGUAUGCUUUACUUUCUGAUUGUAGUUUUUAAAUCGAACAUUACAAAUGUGUUUACACUUUUUUUUUAAAAAGAAAUUAAUUAUUAGAGUAAAAUGAUAAAAAACAAACAAACUAAUUCUAUCUUGUAUUUAUAAAUGAAUAAAUAAUUUAAGAUCACUACUUUUUUUAAUAAUAAUUUAUAAUAAUAUGAUACAGAUAUAACAGUAAUUAAAUAGUACCACAAUUCUUCAAUAAAAUAAAAUUUUAAUAAGCAAUCAAGUGCAUCAGUAAAAUAUUGUAAGUGUGAUGUUUCUUCCAAUAGAGGUUCAAGUAGACGACCAACGUAAAAAGUAAAGGAGUUGCUUUACAACCCACUAAAUGUAACAAAAAUAAUUAUAAACAGAUAUUAGUAAAGUAAUAAAAAAGAGAAAGCCCACAGAUUAAACACUAUAACAUGGUUCCACUUAUGAACAUAAAGUCAAUUUUGCUUUAGGAAAAUUGGUGGAAUUAUCAUAUUGAUUCAUUAUUGCCUGGGCCAUUAAUUUCUCUGACAUAGUACUAUAGUCCUGGCAACAAUUAGAGUUUGGAGUAUUUUGACAAAAUAACAAAUCAGGGUGGAUAUGUUAAUUAGACUGUGUAAAUGAAUUUCCAAGUUAACUAAUUUUCCCAUUCUACAUGAAAUUAACUUUAAUUAGCAAGUUUUCAUUUUCAACCUUGGAUAGUAAAUACUCUCCAAUUAUUUUUAUUUGUUCAUUAUUUUAAAAAUAGAAUUUUCAUUUUUAUUUCUCACUUUUAACAUAUCAAAAAAGGAUAAUUAUUUACUUUCAUAUUUUACCCUUAGCAUUAAUUGCAUAUUUAAUAAUCAUUUCUCAAAAUGUAAUACUCCCUCAGUUUCUAUUUACUUGUCCAUUUAUUUUACUUGACAUACAUAUUAAGAAAAUAAUAAUUGAUACAAUGAGGUUACCAUUUUACUCCUAUUAAUUGAUACAAUUCCAAAAUCAAUUUACUCAUUCAAAAUGUUCUACCUUUUUCAAAAAUAUUAACUCUCUAAAUAAAUUAAGAGUAUAAUAGGUAAAAAAAUAUCUUGAUUUGUUAAAAAUAACAAAUAAAAUGUCAAUAUUAGAUAAGUAAAAAGGGACAGACGGCCAAGUAAAAAUGUAUAUUAUAGUAAAAUAUCCCCUUCAAUCAUGGUUUUUAAAGGCAUGCAUGAUCCGAAAUGAACAAGUAAAAAUAAUCUGAAGAAUAUUAUGUACUCAGGCAGUGGAGGAGCCACCUUACAAUGAGGGGUUCAUUUGAAUCCCCUUCGGCGGAAAUUAUAUGAUUUAUACAUGGUUAAAAUAAUUUUUUAGGUAUAUAUAGUAGAUGUCGAACCUUCUUCGGCUACUUUGUGUGUCUAUUUUUUUAGAUUUUGAACCCCCUUAUUGAAAAUUCUGGCUCCGCCACUGUACUCAGAUAAUGGAAAAAUUACUUGGAUGAAUACUUUUUAAUAAAUAAUUACUUAUUUUAGCGAUACUUUUUAUCUAUUACCAUUUAUAGCAAUACAUAACAAUUAUAUGUUAAAUUUGCAAUAUGUAUUAAAAGUGGAUUAUGUAUGCAAUAUAUAUGUAUUAUAAUUGUUUUUAAAAAAAUAUAUUAUGUUUUUUUGGUAAGAAAUUGACACAUUGUAUUAUAAGUGUAUUAAAUGUGUGAUAAAUGUAUUAUUUAUCAAUAAAAAUGGUAUUAUAUAUGAAUAAUAAAUUAUUAUAUAUUAAAACUGUAUUAUAAAUAUAUUAAAAGUGAUCAAGUGAAAAAACAAUAUUAUUACUAUAAAUGAUAAAUAUUUUUUUAAUAUAGUAUAUUUAUGUAAGUUUCCCUCAGAUAAUCUACUUCUUUGGCCGAAAGAAAGGAAUGAUUUUUAACUUGCUAACCUACUCCAUGUUACCUUUUACCUUUUGCUCUUCUUAUUCUUGAGCAAAUAACUACUCCCACCAUUUCAAAAAGAAUGGUCUCCUUUGCUUUUUAGUCUGUUUAAAAAAGGAUAAUUUUUUUUUUGUUUUAGUAACAUUUUAAUUUUAGCUUUCCACGUGACAUGUUUAAAAUCAUAAGAUUAAAUAACAAUUUUAUACAUUUGACAUAACUUUAAUUUAGGAUCACAAAAUUCAAAAGUCUUCUUUAUUUUCUUAAACUAUGUGUCAAGUCAAAACUAGAUCAUUCUUUGUAAAACGGAAGGAGUAGGAGAGAAGGUUGUAACAAGUAGCCGACAAUCAAAUUAAAGAGAGAAAAAUUGUGGAACCACUUGAAAAUUGUAUACCGUAAUCAAGAAACAAACGGGUAUCAUCACAUUAAUAAUUUUCAUAAUUACAUAAAAAGAGAAAAUUAAGAGAAAGAAAAUCCCGGGACAGAAUGGAAACCAAAAAUUAAUUUGCAGUAUUCAAAGCUCCCAAUCUGCACGUAUUUCUAUAUAUAAUUACUGCCAUGAUCUAAUUAAAAAAAAGAAGAAAACAUUAAGCAAAAGCAGAUGCAGCCUCUCUUCUCAGAUCUCUGUAGAAUCGAGAAAUGAAUUCAUCAGCUUUCUCAUCAACGUGGCUAAUCAUGUCACCAUUAUCAUCAGCUUCUCUUAGUGGGAAAGGCGAGUCAGUGAUUCUUAAUUGCCUCACCGUUGGAGUCCUUCCGAAUCCAGGCAAAGCAGGUGAUGCUGUUUCGCUCUGAAGGAUUUCUAAUGCCUUCAAAACAGCAGCGUUCAUCAUUGAAACGUCGUCGUGUUCAGGCUGACUAAUGCGCUUGUUGGUGUUGAAGGGGAGGUGAAAAGCAGGGCUGUUACUGCAGCUGAACUCGUAAUACUCUUUUGAAGUUGAUUGAUGAAUAUUAUUAUGGCCCUGGAACAUCAGAUUUUGGAAGGCAGCUUUUCCAGCAAUCUUACCACGUUUCAUUAAUAAAUUGAGAUCGAACAUUAGUUUCCUCUUUGAUGAUAAUCCUUUCCUCAACAUGAAGUAAGCCACGCGGACUAUCUUCCAGAACUUUUUCGCUAUAACUGGCAAUUUUUGAUCCAUUUUUUCUCUCUAAUUAAGUACUCUCUUUAUAUAUUCACGAGCAGUUUUUCUUUUUUUCUUUUGAAUUGAAUAUUUGUUUGUUCACGAGAGACAAAUAUUGAUGAAAACUUUAGAGGAGAGUUUGUUUUUGUGGUUUAUGAGAAGAAUUGAGAGAGUGGUAUAUAUAGGGAGGUUUUCAUUCAGAGGAAAAGGAUAUAAUGAAGUAUUCAAUAUGUUUACUUUUUAAUAAGUUGACACGUUUGGAUACGGACCACGUAUAGUUUGAGUUUAUUCAAUAUUUUAUUAAGACUUCAAUUAUUAUACAAGGAGUUGGUGAUUUUCUAGUACAAGUAUAGGGUCAAUUAAUUUUGUUAGAAUUUAUAAAUUAAUAUACAUAUAAAUUUAAUUAAUUUUCUAGUAUAAGUAUAAGGUCUAAGGAAAGCUACUGGAUUCGUCCGAACCUAUGAACCCCAGCCUAGCUCCGCCACUUGUAUUAGUUAUAGGAUGAAACUUCAAAUUAGCUUAAGGGAGGAUAUCAUCGAUUACCUUUAUAAACUGUUAACGUUUUUUUCUUUGUUCUUUUUUUGUGCUGCAAUUUUCUAUUGAAACAGACAUAUAUGUUAUACACAAGUGUAGGGGAAAAAGAGUUAGACUAUUAGGAGCGGAAUUCAACUUUUGAAUAUUUACUAGAGUUAGUAGCUAGGAGUAUCAUUUAGAGUACCCUUUUUAACUUAAAGAUUUGAAGUGACUUCACUUAUCCAAAAUACAAUCUCUUAAUUAGUGUGAAUAUAUAUAUAUAUAUAUACAUCUGGCAUUCAUCCUCAUCUGUUUUACACAAUUAUUGUUGUACCAUACAAUGGAUUAGGAGACACAUAAUAUUAUCCACUACUCAUUCUUGUCCUGGAACUGUCAAAAAGACCUUGUCCACAAGAAACCACAAUUUUUUUCUUAAAUCUAUGAUAAUCACUUCUCUCUUUAUCCGAGAUGAUGUUUCAUUAAUUUUAUUGUUGUCUUUAAUUAUGCGUUCUAAAAUUAUUUCAAGUUGAGUAGAUAUUGGAUUUUUUAUUUUGACUAUAUAUAUCCAAGUUAGUUUGAACAAUGUUUGUCUUACUAUAGCUAGUUUUUAAAGUUAACUUAGUCAAAGGUUCAUUCGAGUCAUAUACUCAUUCUUAUUCUUGGUUCACUACACAAUAAUUAUUUCUGACAUCAUCUUGAAAUAGAUUGUUAUAUCUCUUUAAAUAAUUUUGAAUUACUCUCAUCUUUGAUGUGCUAAUUUUUAAAUUGAAUUAGUUCAAAAGUUCAUUUUUUUAAUUGUGGUUUUGAUUUCAAAACCAGCAGCUAGCCCUAAUUAAGUAUGGUUUACUAUAGUAAUUAAGCACCACAAUUCCUCUCAAAAAACAAAAUUUAUAAAGCAAUCAAGUGCAUCAAUAAAAUAGUAUAUGUGCUAUGUUUCUUCCAAAGGAGGUGCAGGUGGAUGAUUAAUGUGAAAAGCAAAGGAGUUGCUUUACUAACCACGAUAACUAAAUAAUAAUUAUAAAUAGAUAUUAGUAAAGUAAGAAAAGAGAAAGCCCACAGAUUAAAUGGAGUAUAACAUUUUUCCACUUAUGAACAUAAGACAAUUUUGCUUUAGGAAAAUUGGUGAAAUAACAUUGACCCAUUAGUGACUUUAUUGGUUAAUCGGGCCAUUAAUUUUUCUUUGACAUAGUACAAUUGUCCUGGCAACAAUAGUAGUUUGGAGUAUUUUGACAAUGAAUUUCCAGGUUUUAUGAGAAGCAAUGAAUGGUACUCCAUAUAGGGGCCUUUUUAUACAGUGGAAGAAGACGCAGUGAAGUAUUCAAGUUGACACGUUUGAGUCUUUAUAACGAGUUUAUUCAAUAUUUUAAUGGUCCAAUUAGAGUCUUUUAAGUCAUUUUCACUCAUCAAAUAAGUUCUCCAUUUCCCCCCUUCCUUGUAGAUUGCAUUAAUAAUUAAAUAACUACGUACCAGUGAAAUGUCACAAAAUUACUAGUUCAUUGUAACCUGAUCAAAUACACAACUCAACUUACCCUACAAGGAUUUAGGAUUAAAAAAACCGCUAAACGUUUUAGUUUCAAAAUUUUAACUUGUAGGGUGUGUUUGGUAUGAAGGAAAAUGUUUUCCAUGGAAAAUGUUUUCCUAGAAAAUGUUUUCCUGGAAAACAAGUUGAUUUUUGACUUAUUUUCUCAUGUUUGGUUGGUGAUUAAAAAAUAUUUUUCGGAAAAGAUUUUUAGUGUAAAUUUAUGAAUGAAAAAUAUUUUUGAGAAAUAUCUUUUAUUUUUACUAGAGUAGAAAAUAAUUUUUGAAAUUGAAUUUUUUUUUUAAAAACAAACUUAAAUUUUUUUUGGGGNNNNNNNNNNNNNNNNNNNNNNNNNNNNNNNNNNNNNNNNNNNNNNNNNNNNNNNNNNNNNNNNNNNNNNNNNNNNNNNNNNNNNNNNNNNNNNNNNNNNNNNNNNNNNNNNNNNNNNNNNNNNNNNNNNNNNNNNNNNNNNNNNNNNNNNNNNNNNNNNNNNNNNNNNNNNNNNNNNNNNNNNNNNNNNNNNNNNNNNNNNNNNNNNNNNNNNNNNNNNNNNNNNNNNNNNNNNNNNNNNNNNNNNNNNNNNNNNNNNNNNNNNNNNNNNNNNNNNNNNNNNNNNNNNNNNNNNNNNNNNNNNNNNNNNNNNNNNNNNNNNNNNNNNNNNNNNNNNNNNNNNNNNNNNNNNNNNNNNNNNNNNNNNNNNNNNNNNNNNNNNNNNNNNNNNNNNNNNNNNNNNNNNNNNNNNNNNNNNNNNNNNNNNNNNNNNNNNNNNNNNNNNNNNNNNNNNNNNNNNNNNNNNNNNNNNNNNNNNNNNNNNNNNNNNNNNNNNNNNNNNNNNNNNNNNNNNNNNNNNNNNNNNNNNNNNNNNNNNNNNNNNNNNNNNNNNNNNNNNNNNNNNNNNNNNNNNNNNNNNNNNNNNNNNNNNNNNNNNNNNNNNNNNNNNNNNNNNNNNNNNNNNNNNNNNNNNNNNNNNNNNNNNNNNNNNNNNNNNNNNNNNNNNNUGGGGGCAGGUUUGAGGGUAGGGACAAAAUAAAUUGAUUUUUUCAACAAAAAAGUAAUUGUAAUUUGAAGUUGGAAGAGAGUUUUGGAAAAUGUUUUCCAUAAGUUUUGAAGGGAAGUCAUUUUCCUUAAAUUUGAGGAAAAUGAGUUGAUUUGGAAAACAUUUUCCAAAACAUUUAACCCAACCAAACAUGAGAAAAUUGAAAAACAUUUUCCGGAAAAUGUUUUCCUUCAUACCAAACACACCCGUAAUAUAGAAUGUGCAUUCGAUAACAAUUGAACCUAUAUAAUUUAAAUCUUGAAUGCCUUAAGAAUUCUUUUUUUUUUAAAUGUGUGCAUGCAUAAAAUUAGGCAGCUUUAUUUAUGAUUAUAUCCCACAUAAGAGAAAUAAAUAUGGCAAAUUGUAAAACUAAUUAAUAAAUAAACUCAAAAAGAGAGCAAUUCCAGAAGUAAAAUUCAUACCCAACACAGAGAAAAUUCAGCUUCUUUUGGCCCGGGGAAAGAGGGAUACAGAGAAGUGGUCAUUAUUAAUUCCACAAAUCUAAUCUCUCUUUACUUUUUUUUUUCUUAAUUAAUUUGCUAAUGUCGAUAACGACAUACAUUAUAAAAUAGAAAAUCUAAGACUCUCUUGGAUUCACUUGGCUCCCAAAAGUUCAAUUAAGUUUUGAAUAUUCAGGCACCCCAAAAGUUCUAUAAAUGCAAAUACAAUUUGAGAAAAUAAUAUAAAGUUAUUCAAACCCACUCAAUACAUGACUAUGUACCACGCUAUUAAUUAAACUUGGCACAAUCUAAAAGAAAACAAGAAGUGUAAAGUUUUAAUUCUUGUUGAGAUUAAAUUUAUUAGAGCAUUCAACUUUUACAUCUAAAAUAUUGAAUUUCAGAAUUUUAACUAGCAAGAAAAAAUAACAUCUGUUGAGCUAUGCUUGUUUUAGUAAAAUGAGUAAAACUGGUUCUUCAAAAAUAUGCAUGUUAUAAUUAGAACCGUCCUUUAGAAGGCUGCUAAAGGUAGGCAAAGUCAACGACCUUUUUUAUUUGUCAAACUUACUGUUGUUCGUCUUUUUUUUUAUUUCAUGUCAAAUUAUUUGCCUAUUCAUUUAUAAUAAUUGCGUAUAAAGUUGUUCCUUUCCCACAAUUAAAACCAACAUAGGCUUCUCUCUUCUGACCCAUUCAAAAAAAAAUUCUCCAUGCAGAUGUCAAAAUCUAAACUUUGUUGGGUCUAAUUACCAAUAGAAUUUGGAAUACAAUUUUAUUACUUCAAUAAGAAAAUAUAUUUAGUAUUUUUAACAAUAGAAAUAUUUUAGACUUUAAAUUAAACUAUUCAAAUUUUCAUGUUAUUAAAUAAUAUUUUUAUCAUAAGAUCCAAAGUAAUAUAUUAUAAACACAUGGCUAACCUAUUAUUAAUUUUAAAUGUCACUAAUAACAAUACUCUGAAAGAAGAGGAAGUUAUAUAAAAAGAAAAUUUUGGAUAGAAGAACUAACUAGACUAAUAAAGAAGAAUUAUUGAAUUUUGUCGAAUGAAUUUGAUUUGAAAUUGGAAUGAUUUCAAAUGUACAAGAACAUCCUAUUAAUAUUGUCUAUGUAUAAUUUUAAAUUUGUAAAAGAAAAAUAUUGAUAACACGGUUCAAUAAACUUGCCAAAUUACCAAUGUUUCAAUAUCUUCCUUAAUAAUUUUGUUGCAAAACUCAGUAAUGGUGUCUAGUGUGAGCUUUAUUUAUCAACUGAGUUAGAAGCAUUACAACAAAAUCACCAAUUGUAUAUAUCUGGAAAUUAUAUAAGAAAAUCGGCGACAAAUUAUGUUAUCCGUCAAUUUUCCUACUAAGAAAAUUUGAUGAUAAAAUCUUUGUGGGUAAAAUAUUUAUAUAUUGUAACUACUCUUUAAGAAUUGAUAGUGUAUGGUUAACUAAUUGAUAAAAUUAUUUCAUCAACUUUUAUCACAAACACAAGAACCAGUUGCUUCAAUAAUAUUAAUCAAGAGAAGUUUCAAAAUAAAAUUAGAAAAUACUCAAUAUUUAAUUCUCAUUUAAAAUAUUUAAAAAUAAGUAUACUUUAUGUAAUACAAGAUAAUUAAAUUACAAUCAUUAAUUUUAAUACAUGUAAAAAAAAAUACUAAUUUUAUUAGGACAUACUUUUAUGUGUAUCUUCUUUUUUUUCCCUCUUUGUUGCUCACAAACCAUAAAGAUUGAGAGUAUAUAUAGAAAUUUGCUUAGACAUGCGAAAAAUUUAUAUUAAAACUGAUAUCCAACACUAACUUUUAGUUGUAACUGAUUUUGUUAUAUAAAUAUAUUUUUUUAUUAUUUUCUUUGUUUCAAAAUAAGUGGCGUUAUUUUUUCAUUUUGUUUCAAAAUAUGUAGUGUUUUAGAUAAUCAAUAAAACACUAAUAAAAAUAUUUCAAUUUUAUAUUCUUUAUUUUAAAAAAAUAAAGAGAACCAAAGAAUUACUAAAAAGUCACAUUUUUUCAGAAAUUAAUAAAAAUACAUCUUAUCUAUGAAAAAAAUCAGAUAUGUGAAAGAAUUGUUGGAAUUGUUUAUUAAUGCAAAGGGCAAAUAUGAGUUGAAUUGCUAAAAAUAAGUGUAUAAAUAAACUAAACUCUAAUUUAUGUUUAAAAAAAUUAAGCAAUUUCAAACAUUACACGAGAAUUUUGGACAUCUAUCCUUAUAAUAUUAAAAAUGAAUUAAAAAAAGUGUACUUGUUCAUAAUGGUUGUUUUAUUUAUUUUUUAUAAUUAUUGUCGCACGUAUAUACAGGUGUAAACAUCGUGGCCUGCAAAGUUUUGGUAUGAACACCAAAAGCAAAUUGCAAUAAAGAUAGAGAAUUGAGGUUAUUUUUUGGGUGGGGUUAGGGGUUUACAGAGUAGUGCUCAAUUAUUGAACUCUUAGAAUUUUUUUCACAAAAUAAAUACACCUUUUUCCUAUUUUCUUUUUCUUUAAUAUUUUAAAAAUUACGUGGUUUAAUUAUAUACUACUAAAGAAAAUAUUGGAUCCUAAGAAAAACAAUACCAAGUUAAUAAACUCACUCAAUACAUAUGUGACGAUGUACCAUUCAAUUUCUGAAACGUGGCACAAUCUGAAAGAAAAACAACAAGAAGUAUAAGUUAUGUUUUUUUUAGAAUUAUUUCUUCAACCUAGCAGAUAAAGUACUUGAGUAUAAUCUAUGAGAUUUGAAGCUCUUUAAUGCGUUGUAAGAAUCAAGGCUUGUAUUUUUUUAUUCGUGAAAAAUGAAGGAAGAAAAAAGCAAUACAUGUUCUUAAAUUAUUUCUAGCUGAAUACAUAUUGGAUUUCAGAUUUUGAAUAUGUCCAACUUUUAAUUAGUCAUGUUAAGUGACCUGGGAGAGGAAAUGUGAGGACUUGAACAAUCCCAAUCUCAUCAAUUAAUUACUCCCUUUUGUUUCUUUUUAGUUGGUAUUGUUUUUUUUUUUUUAGAAUCAAACGAUAAGAAUUAAUUACUCCAUUUUUAUCGUAGCUUUGAUUUCAAAACCAAAUAGCCCUAAGGUAUGCUUUACUUUCUGAUUGUAGUUUUUAAAUUAAACAUUACAAAUGUGUUUACACUUUCAAAAAGAAAAAGAAGGAAUUAAUUAUUAGAGUAAAAUGAUAUAAAAAAAAAACUAAUUAUUUAUAAAUAAUAAAUAAUUUAAGAUCACUAUUUUUUUAAUAAUGAUUUAUAAUAAUAUGAAACAGAUGUAAUAGUAAUUAGACAGUACCACAAUUCCUCAAUAAAAUAAAAUUUUGAUAAGCAAUCAAGUGCAUCAGUAAAAUAUUGCAAGUGUGAUGUUUCUUCCAAUAGAGGUUCACGUAGACGACCAACGUAAAAAGCAAAGGAGUUGCUUUACAACCCACUAAAUAUAACAAAAAUAAUUAUAAACAGAUAUUAGUAAAGUAAUAAAAAAGAGAAAUCCCACACUUAUGAACAUAAGACAAUUUUGCUUUAGGAAAAUUGGUGGAAUUAUCAUAUUGAUUCAUUAGUGCCUUGAUUAGUUAAUUGGGCCAUUAAUUUAUCUUUUGACAUAGUGCUAUAGUCCUGGCAACAAUUAGAGUUUGGAGUAUUUUGACGAAAUAACAAACAAGGGUGGACGGUCGUGUUAGUAAAUGAAUUUCCAAGUUAACUAAUUUUCCCAUUUUACAUGAAAUUAACUUUAAUUAGCAAGUUUUCAUUUCCAGCCUUGGAUAAUAAAUACUUUGUCCAUUAUUUUAAAAAUAGAAUUUUCAUUUUUAUUUGUCACUUUUGACGUAUCAAAAAAAGAUAAUUAUUACUUUCAUAUUUUACCCUCGGCAUUAAUUGCUUAAUUAAUAAUCAUUUUUCAAAUAUAAUACUCCCUCAGUUCCUAUUUACUUGCCCAUUUUUUACUUGACAUAUCUAUUAAGAAACUAAUAAUUGAUACCGUGAGUUUACCAUUUUACUCCUCCUAUGAAUUGAUAGAAUUUCAAAAUAAAUUUACUCAUUAAAAAGGUUCUAUCUUUUUAAAAAAUAUUAGCUUUCUAAAUAAAUUAAAGAUAAAUAAGUAAAAUGUCAAAAUUGGACAAGUAAAAAGUAGAGCGAGGGAACAAGUAAAAUGUAGUAUUUUGGUAAAAUACUCCCUUCAGCCAUGGUUUUUAAAGGCAUGCAGAAUCCAAAAUGAACAGCAGAAAUAGUAUUAUGUACUCGGAGAAUCUACUUCUUGGGCGGAAAGAAAGGAAUGAUUUGUAAGUUGCCAUGUUAACUUUUACUUUUUCGAGCAAACAACUACAAGAGAAGGUUGUAACAAGUAGCCGACAAUCAACUUAAGAGAGAAAAAUUGUGGAAGCAAAAUUUCAGGACUUGAACCGUUUGCAAAUAAUAUACCGUAAUUAAGCAAGAAACAAACGGGUAUCGUCACAUUAAUAAUUUAGAGAAAUUUAUGAGAAAGAAAAUCAUGGAAACCAAAAAUUAAUUUACAGUAUUCAGAGCUCCCAAAUUAAUUCGCUAAUUAAAAAAAAAAAGGAAAACAUUAAGCAAAAGCAGAUGCAGCCUCUCUUCUCAAAUCUCUGUAGAAUCGAGAAAUGAAUUCAUCAGCUUUCUCGUCUACGUGGCUAAUCAUGUCACCAUUAUCAUCAGCUUCUCUUAGUGGGAAAGGCGAGUCAGUGAUCCUUAAUUGCCUCACCGUUGGAGUCCUUCCGAAUCCAGGCAAAGCAGGUGAUGCUGUUUCGCUCUGAAGCAUUUCUAAUGCCUUCAAAACGGCAGCGUUCAUCAUUGAAACGUCGUCGUGUUCAGGCUGAUUAUGCUUAUUAAUGCGCUUGUUCAUGUUGAAGGGGAGAUGGAAAGCUGGGCUGUUACUGCAGCUGAACUCGUAAUACUCUUUUGAAAUCGAUUGAUGAAUAUUAUUAUGGCCCUGAAACAUCAGAUUUUGGAAGGCGGCUUUGCCAGCAAUCUUACCACGUUUCAUUAAUAAGUUGAGAUCGAACAUUAGUUUCCUCUUUGAUGAUAAUCCUUUCCUCAACAUGAAAUAAGCCACGCGGACUAUCUUCCAGAACUUUUUCGCUAUCACUGGCAAUUUUUGAUCCAUUUUUUCUCUCUAAUUAAGUACUCUCU
rnacentral:lncRNA from 1 species